rnacentral:lncRNA from 1 species
ACCAAACCUCCACAACUAAACGGCGCCUACAGCUUCUGCCUUCUGGUACAUCGAAAACUUCUGUCGUCAACAUGAGAGCUAAGUGGAAGAAGAAGAGAAUGAGGAGAUUGAAGAGGAAGCGCCGAAAGAUGAGACAGAGAUCUAAGUAACUGUCUUAUGUUGCCGUUUUGGCAGGUUUUUGAGUUAUCAGGUUUUGUUGGAACAAUUGUCUGUCAUUUUGUUUUCGGAUAUUAUGAAUUAUGAUCCUUUAAUUUACAAUUUUAAUUUACUUUUUUCUUGUGGGUUUUAAUUGUUGCUGAAUCUUUACUGUUCAGUGAAAUUGGUUAAGUUUUCUGUGUGGUAAAUUUGUUUAUGAUGUGGUGUCUUCUGAUUAAGUUUUAGGUUUUGGAUGUUGAUUUGUUGAAUGAUAACAUUGAACAAUGCUGGUUUUUGUUUUAAAUUAUUUCGUGUAAUAUUUAUUAUAAUAGGGAUUGAAAUGAAAAUUUUUUUUGGAAACGGAUGGUGUAAGUAAAUUCAAAUUUUAUCAUAGAUGUUAGUUCAAGUAGAUGUGUACAUAUAAUCAGUUUAUCUGAGCACAAGGAGUAUUUCUAUUUUUUACAACACGAAUUAAAAAAAAUACCCUUUGUUUGUUUACAACAGAAAUUAUGUCCCAACUGUUAUUGCACACAAAGAGUACACAUAACACCCGAUAAAUCGUUUAGUUUUAGUUUGUGCAACAAGAGUGUAUGUGUGAAAUGUGUAAGCCACCCUUAGGAGGGGGACGGGGCACUUUCAAGGGUACCCUUUUUGGGUAGUGUUUUGUGCCACAACACCGCUACCACUUACGAGGGUAGGCUAGGCGGCUUGGUUUUAAAAAGCGAGAGGCGCACACAAAAGCGCUGAGGUCUAAAACUGAGGCGCCAAGUGCAAAAGCGGAGAGCUUUUUGUACCCUAGGCGCAAGCUGAUUAGAUAUAUAAUUUUAUAUAUUCCAUAGGGUUUUAGCUUUUCUUGUUCAAUAAAUAGGUAUAAAUAUGGGUUUUCUAUGAUUUUAGCUGCAUGUACAAGCCAAAAAACAUAAGGUACAACAGUUAGAUGCCUAAAGCCGUCUAGUGUACAAGAGACCGCAUGCUUCGGGCCAAAAAAAGCCCAGAAAAAUCCCAAAACCACAUCUUUUUGGCUGUUUUUGUAAUUACUUUUGCUCUGAGCGAAAAUCUUCAGGGCACACUCCUUGUUGCGCCUCUCGCUUAAGCGCGCUUUUUAAAACCAAGCUAGGCGGGUUGAUUGUGCCGGGAGGAGAACCCGUCCAAGGGUAAGAGAGAAGGGGUUUUAGGUGGUGUUAGACUGGAGCCUAUGAUUCAAGGGUACAUUGUUAAGGCAAGGUUAGGACGUCGUCAGUGUUGUGUUUGUGAGUUAAGAGUAGUUUCUAAGAAUUUUGCCAUGGUGGGAUUUGAUUGGUUGGGGCAAGGGUAGUACGCUCGGAUGCGCUUUUUGCUUUGUUGGCAUCUGACAUCUCAUGGAAUUUUAAUUACACACUUUUCACAUUAUUGAUAUGAAUUUGAAUGAUCCCUAGAAGUUUAAUCCCAAGGAUUAAUUUGAGUAUGAUAUAAAUACGUGAUUUGGUAAUAACUACUGCUGAAUGUUGAUUACUGGUGCACUAAGCGUUGCGGUUCUUGGGCGCCAACCCAUCACAACUGAAAUAAAUAUGAUAAGUGCAUAAUUUAUAUGUUGUAUAUAAAAAACUUGUAAUCAAUCAUAAGCCCUAAUAAAAAUUAAAAUAACUGUGAGUGGUGAUAAGCAAAAUAAGUCGAGUUGUACUUUAUACCCAACUCGUUAUGUUUGUGUAUGUUGUGGUUGCUAUUUUUGGAGACGUACAAAACCAGUUUAGGCCCAAACCAGUCCAACUAGUUUAAUACCCGUCCGGUGGACGGGUUACGCUAACAACGUAACAAACAAAGAUAAUGUAUAUUGAUGGUGUUUCGGUUUGUUUCUCCUUUUCCAUCUCCUAUUUGAAAAAGUUACAACCAUCUAACUUUUGAUGAAAUUUUAGCAUGCACUCCGAUGAAGAUAUUCUUGUCGUUCUUGCAUUUGGUGACAAAUAACACACCCGUAAAACAAAUAAAUUGUUCAUAGCCAUACACAUUUUUUAGAUAUCAUUGUUUACGUCACAUUCAUUGAUUUUUUUUUUCUAAAUGUCUUGUUAAUUUAAAAGGUUAAAAGCUUUAGUAAAAUGAUAAUGUGUUCUGACGUAACCUUUUUGAAGUUGGACCAAAAUCAUAGUUUGGCUACAUGAACCAUUUGUAUGAUAAAUUCUUUAUAUUACGAUUACAGGACAACAUUAUUAUAAUAACAAAGCAAGUUCAAGAUUUCGCUUAUAAUCGGUAAUCGAUCUCUCAAGCAUUUAUAAGAAUGAUAUUUCAAAAAUUGAUCACUCAAAGCUACUACAUAAAAAUAAUGAAUCAAACAUAGUAUAAAAGAUCUCAUAUACCCCCUCCCACAAAGAACAAAAAAAUGUUUUUUUUCUAAUACUGGUAUAUAGAUAACUUCCUCCAUAUUUUGAUGGAAUUACUUAUACACAAGAGGUUCUUCUAUCUACAAACUAUGUCACAAAAGAAUAUGUGAUUUACCAGACCCACGAGAACACAACUUCGUCCCAGUUUUGCUAUUAGCACAAACACAUAUUUCAAAAGAAGAUCAUAGUCUUCUUCCCAAUACAAAAGAGAAGCUUUUUCAGGGUUAUCUAGAAGCAUCUUAGAUGUCAAAUAUCCAACAAUUUUUCAAGUUCGGUACAGUCUCGAUUGCUUCCCUAUAAGUUUACAGCUUCUGGUGGCGUAAUAUUCAAGCCAGUGAUCGGCAUACAGUCUAUUUUCAGCAAAAGAUCUUGCUAGUUCUAUUCUUCCCAUCUUGAUGCAGGCUAAUGUAAAGUAAAACACCCAAGUAACAUUAAAAGAAAAAAAUAUCAUUUUUAACGAAAUGUUUACAAAAAGGAACACAGUGAAAAUUACCUGCCAUGGCAGAGUUGACCAAGAUCUGCCAUUGUGAUACCAACAUGAUCUGUAAUUAGUCGAGAAACUGCUAUAAUUUGAUAUAACAUAGUACUAAAGGUCAAACGGGUCAAAUAAGUUGAAAGGGUUAAACAGGUAUAAAGCCUCUACUAUUUUAAUAAACUAUUACAAUUAUUACUACAUAAUAUAAUUUUCAAAUCAUAUUGGACAUACUAGUUAUCUGUAACAAAAUUUAAGCUGUUUUAACAGUAUUUAAAACUUUUAGACAAAAUACCGGUUUAACACUAAUCCAUUUGACCCAUUACCCUUGACCCAGCCAUUUUCCACCUCUACAUUAUAUGCAUGAUUUGGUUAUGUCUAACCUUUAUUGGGUCAAAUAGCUUCUAAGAGUCAAAUGUAAAGAAGUAGCCCAAAGGGUAUUUUUUUACUAUAAAACCUCCAAAACUAAGUGAACCACCCAACGAAAGUGAGUCGAUAGGUUUGGUUCACUAUUCCAUUUUGGUAGUUUAACAACCCGGUUGACAGUUACGUGGACAGGACUAAAUUAAAGAUAGAGAGGGCACUUUUAGUCAAGUUACGUUAAAAUCAGUUACAUGGACUAUAUUAUAUGCCAAACGGGUCA